UACAGGGGGGGCAAGCGUUGUUCGGAAUUACUGGGCGUAAAGGGUUCGUAGGUGGCCAACUAAGUCAGACGUGAAAUCCCUCAGCUUAACUGGGGAACUGCGUCUGAUACUGGUUGGCUUGAGUGCAGGAGAGGAAUGCGGAAUUCCAGGUGUAGCGGUGAAAUGCGUAGAUAUCUGGAGGAACACCGGUGGCGAAGGCGGCAUUCUGGACUGUAACUGACACUGAGGAACGAAAGCCAGGGGAGCAAACGGGAUUAGAAACCCUCGUAGUCC
rnacentral:rRNA from 1 species